rnacentral:lncRNA from 1 species
AUGUAAGAAACAAUAACCUGAGUAAAAAUAUCCCCAUUCUGUUUUUUUAUCCCAGUUACUCUCGUUCAUGUUUUUUGUUCAACUCAGUUAUACCUGUUCAACCUUUUUACCUAUUUUCAAUAUGCCUAGUUAGACCCAUUCAUCCCUUUUAGCUUUACCCAAAUUCACCCCUAACACUUUAUUAUAAGUCCAAAUUGACCCUCGUAUAACAACCGUUGGGUCAGAAUUGCCAUUCAUAUUACCAGUGACCACUUAAAACUUAUUGUGUCUACAAUCUUAAAACAAUAAACAAAGAAAAUUACCAGUGAUCUAUUGUUGUAACAACUCAGAUGUAAGCUGCUUCAAGAAAACAACCUUUUUCCCCUUGAACCUCCUAGCCAAUAUAAUUAUUUUCCAUAAAAAACCAAAUCCAUAACAUAAUUGCCAAAAGGUUUGAUAAUUA